rnacentral:rRNA from 1 species
UUAGGUUAAGUUAGAAAGGGCGCACGGUGGAUGCCUUGGCACUAGGAGCCGAAGAAGGACGUGACGAACAACGAUAUGCCUCGGGGAGCUGUAAGUAAGCUUUGAUCCGGGGAUUUCCGAAUGGGGGAACCCACCACUCGUAAUGGGGUGGUACCCAUAGCUGAAUACAUAGGCUAUGAGGAGGCAGACCUGGGGAACUGAAACAUCUAAGUACCCAGAGGAAGAGAAAGAAAUUAUCGAUUUCCUGAGUAGCGGCGAGCGAAACGGAAACAGCCCAAACCAAGGGGCUUGCCCCUUGGGGUUGUAGGACACUCUAUACGGAGUUACAAAGAAACG